UACGUAGGGUGCAAGCGUUGUCCGGAAUUAUUGGGCGUAAAGAGCUCGUAGGCGGUUUGUCGCGUCUGCUGUGAAAACCCGAGGCUCAACCUCGGGCCUGCAGUGGGUACGGGCAGACUAGAGUGCGGUAGGGGAGAUUGGAAUUCCUGGUGUAGCGGUGGAAUGCGCAGAUAUCAGGGGGAACACCGAUGGCGAAGGCAGGUCUCUGGGCCAUUACUGACACUGAGAAGCGAAAGCAUGGGGAGCGAACAGG
rnacentral:rRNA from 1 species